rnacentral:rRNA from 1 species
GUCCAUGGCCAUAUCACUCUGAAAGUGCCCGAUUGUGUCUGAUCUCAGAAGCUAAGCAGGGUUGAGCCUGCUUAGUACUUGCAGGGGAGAUAUGGAUC